GCCCAUGGCCUUGGAGGAGAUGCCGG
rnacentral:piRNA from 1 species